ensembl:lncRNA LINC00996 long intergenic non-protein coding RNA 996
GUGGAACGGUAGGAAGCUGAGCUGGACUCUCUGCCACAUCGUUCGGUUCCCACAACAGCCUGAUGAAGCAGCAGCAGAAAAAAUGGAAGCCAUUUUGGUUAACGGGUCACAUCUUAGCAGUUGGCAGCGUAAGAAGCGGAAGGAUCCACUGGUCAGAAAUGGAGAUUGAGGAGAAGCUGAGAGCACGGAGGGCUUCAGGGGAGAGCCUGUCCUUUGGAAAAGCGGGCAAUUUGCACUCGUGGUAGAUGAGUGGGGAGGCCGCUCAGUCUCUCUGCCCCUUUGCACAUGCUGCACCCGUUUAGUUUGACGUCGUGGAGAGCUCCUCCAGGCACGGGCUGUGUGAAAGGGUUUAAAAGUUUGGGGGCAUGGCUGGGGGUCCCCGCAUGAGGGGUGCUGUGUAGGCUCCCAUCUUUUCUGCCGGUCAUGCUGGGAGCCAACAGCACCGGCUCCUGACGUGGGGACUUGCCCUGUGCCAUGACGUGGGGACUCGCCCUGUGCCCUGCGCCCCGGUUCCUGCUGGUUCUGUGCCUUCUGGACUCAUUUCCUUUCCAGGGUCCGCAACCGCUUCCGACACAAUCACUAUUUUGGCUGCGGCCACGGCUUCAUUCGCUUCAGCUGCGAGCUUUUCUCAGCGCAGAGAGCACAGGGAAGCUGGGAGGAGUCCGCCUAGAUGGUCGUUUUCAGUGAGAGGAUUGGCAUGAAGAAUCCUUGGGACACAGGAAUCAAUCAAGACCUUUGGAUGCCCCUGCCUGCUCUGUCUCUAGAAGCCUCAAGCCCAGCAUCCCCAUGCCGACGUGCUCAUCUCUAGCAAAACACCAGCCUCUCAGCCCUCUCUCCAUAAAGGCCACUAGAAAGUACUGUGAUGCCAGGCUGCUCCACAUCCAGGCAGCCUGGGUGACCACUGCCCUUUAUGAGAAUCAGAAAAAGCUGUCUCCCGAGUAGUUGGAAUUACAGGUGCAUGCCACCAUGCCUGGCUAAUUUUUGUAUUUUUAGUAGAGAUGGAGUUUCACUAUGUUGGCCAGGCUGCUCUUGAACUCCUGACCUCAAAUGAUCCACCCGACUCGGCCUCCCAAAGAGCUGGAAUUACAGGAGAAGCUAAACGUUUUAAAAUAAGUAUAUUAUUUCUGAAUUACUAUAACAGACAUGGACUCCAUUUGAACAAGAUACUUAAUUCCAUCAAAAACUUGUCAAAAUAUACAAAUUUAGUCACAAGACACUUUACUACCAUCUACCAAAGCUGUAGUAAACACACACAUUUUCCAUCUUUGAAAUGAAAUAACGUAUAAUAAUGUUUUCCAAAAUAACAAAGAUGUCUGCAGUGAAUAGCACUCCCUUUGAUGUGGCAACUGGGUCAAUCGUGUUAACAACUGUGAAUUCAUCUUUUUAAGAAAUUCUUUUAUUGUUUCUUUUCUUUUCCGCGACAGUCUCACUCGUGUUGCCCCGGCUGGAGUGCAGUGGCGCUAUCUUGGCUCACUGCAGCCUCCGCCUCCCGGGUUCAAGCAAUUCUCAUGCCUCAGCCUCCUGAGUAGCUGGGAUUAUAGGCACGUGCCACCACACCCAGCUAAUUUUUUUGUAUUUUUAGUAGAGACGGGGUUUGACCAUGUUGGUCAGGGUGGUCUCGAAUUCCUGACCUCAGUUGAGCCGCCGGCCUCGGCCUCCCAGGAAGUGCUGGGAUUACAGGCAUGAGCCACCAGGCCCGGCCUUAUUGUUUCUAUUUGUAAUAAAUCUGUUCCCCUUGCU